rnacentral:rRNA from 1 species
CCUACGGGAGGCUGCAGUGGGGAAUAUUGCACAAUGGGCGCAAGCCUGAUGCAGCCAUGCCGCGUGUGUGAAGAAGGCCUUCGGGUUGUAAAGCACUUUCAGCGGGGAGGAAGGCGUUAAGGUUAAUAACCUUGUCGAUUGACGUUACCCGCAGAAGAAGCACCGGCUAACUCCGUGCCAGCAGCCGCGGUAAUACGGAGGGUGCAAGCGUUAAUCGGAAUUACUGGGCGUAAAGCGCACGCAGGCGGUCUGUCAAGUCGGAUGUGAAAUCCCCGGGCUCAACCUGGGAACUGCAUUCGAAACUGGCAGGCUAGAGUCUUGUAGAGGGGGGUAGAAUUCCAGGUGUAGCGGUGAAAUGCGUAGAGAUCUGGAGGAAUACCGGGGGCGAAGGCGGCCCCCUGGACAAAGACUGACGCUCAGGUGCGAAAGCGUGGGGAGCAAACAGGAUUAAUACCCGGGUAGUC